AGAGUUUGAUCCUGGCUCAGGAUGAACGCUGGCGGCGUGCCUAACACAUGCAAGUCGAACGAAGCGCUUUUCCCGAAUUUUCGGAGGAGGGGAGAGUGACUGAGUGGCGGACGGGUGAGUAACGCGUGGGGAACCUGCCCUGUACCGGGGGAUAACAGCCGGAAACGGCUGCUAAUACCGUAUAAGCGCACAGUGCCGCAUGGCACGGUGUGAAAAACCACGGUGGUACAGGAUGGCCCCGCGUCUGAUUAGUUGGUUGGCAGGGUAACGGCCUACCAAGACGGCGAUCAGUAGCCGGCCUGAGAGGGUGAACGGCCACACUGGGACUGAGACACGGCCCAGACUCCUGCGGGAGGCAGCAGUGGGGAAUAUUGCACAAUGGGGGAAACCCUGAUGCAGCGACGCCGCGUGAGCGAGGAAGUAUUUCGGUAUGUAAAGCUCUGUCAGCAGGGAAGAAGAAUGACGGUACCUGAAGAAGAAGCACCGGCUAAAUACGUGCCAGCAGCCGCGGUAAUACGUAUGGUGCAAGCGUUAUCCGGAUUUACUGGGUGUAAAGGGAGCGCAGGCGGUUCUGCAAGUCUGAUGUGAAAGCCCGGGGCUCAACCGCGGGACUGCAUUGGAAACUGCGGGACUGGAGUGUCGGAGGGGUAAGCGGAAUUCCUGGUGUAGCGGUGAAAUGCGUAGAUAUCAGGAGGAACACCGGUGGCGAAGGCGGCUUACUGGACGAUGACUGACGCUGAGGCUCGAAAGCGUGGGGAGCAAACAGGAUUAGAUACCCUGGUAGUCCACGCCGUAAACGAUGAAUACCAGGGUGUCCGGGGGGGCACGGCCCCCCCGGGGGCCCGCAGCCAAACGCAGUAAGGUGUGCACAGGGGAGGUACGUUCGCAAGAAGGAAACUCAGAGGAAUUGACGGGGACCCGCACAAGCCGUGGAGCAUGUGGUUUAAUUCGAAGCAACGGGAGGAACCUUACCUGGCCUUGACAUCACGGUGAAUGCAGGGUAAUGCCUGCAGCCUUUCGGGGCAGCGGAGACAGGUGGUGCAUGGUCGUCGUCAGCUCGUGUCGUGAGAUGUUGGGUCAAGUCCCGCAACGAGCGCAACCCCUGCCCCUAGUAGCCAGCACGUAAUGGUGGGCACUCUAGGGGGACUGCCGGGGACAACCCGGAGGAGGGCGGGGACGACGUCAAAUCAUCAUGCCCCUUAUGGCCAGGGCUACACACGUGCUACAAUGGCGUGCACAGAGGGAAGCAAAGCGGCGACGCCAAGCAAAGCCCGGAAAGCACGCCCCAGUUCGGAUUGCAGCCUGCUUUUAAGAUGCAUGAAGCCGGAAUCGCUAGUAAUCGCGGAUCAGAACGCCGCGGUGAAUACGUUCCCGGGUCUUGCACUCACGGCCCGUCA
rnacentral:rRNA from 1 species